ACCCCUUUCCUUUCCUGAUAUGACAUCACUAAAUGUUUCGCGCGCCACUAUACCGCAACGUAGCGCGAAGACGUUUGUCAGUUUUGGUGUUCCCGACAGUUUCUAAUCUCCGCCAUUAUCGCCACCGUACUGAUCUUCAAUCAAAUUAACCCGAGGUGUUGGGCAUGCUUAUUAACUUCAUCAGAAAAUGUUUGCGGCAACCUAUGAAGUAUCCUAAGGCGGAGAUCACCCAGUAGUGCUGGCAGAAUAAAUGAAGCCCAACAUACAAAGCAAGAUAGUAUGGGAAGCAUUCUCUAAAAACGACUCAGAUCCUCGAUCAACUAGCAUUUGAAUUUAUUGUAAUGCCAGGAUGGAGCUAAAGAAAUGCAGUAAUCACAGUGUUGAAGAAGAUGAAACUAUCAAGACAUAGAUCUUCUACGCCUGUCAUUUUCUGGGUUUUUAAAGCUCUCUUCCAUCAACUUUUAUUUUUAAAUGUUUCUAUUCUAAUGCACUUCCAUUGCUUGGAAAUGCUUUACCAACUCCAUCGCCUCAACAUCAAGAGUACUACCAAGCUAGGCUGAUUUUUAUCCCCUUGACAUGCUGCAACGAGCUCGGAGGUGGAGUUGGGUUAUCUAACGAAAGCGCACUCGGUGGUGGAGAAUUCAUGACUUCGAGUAUUUUGGGGAUGUCUCUAUCAAUGUGAGACCGCGCAUAAGAUAAAAUAUUGGAAAUUGAAUAUCACCAUUCAAGUCAUUUAGGGUAAUAAUCACGGUAAAGCACAACCUAAGGGCACUAACACUGUGAAUUGCUCGAAAGAGUUUUUAUCCCCUACUAAGAUGAUUUAUGCUCUUGCUCAUCUGAUAUGAGUUUUUUAUGUUUCAUAUGGCAUUCAUUUGUAUUUUAUUAGCGAUCUUGAAGUAAUAUGAUGAAUGUUAUCAUUAGUUUUAGACCCUUGUGUAUGCUUUGUGCUCGAUCUUAUACUACCUCAACUUUGUUGUAUCUGAGUAUAAUGCGAAUUUCACUAAUUUCCAAGACGUUUUUGGUAUUCUUAA